rnacentral:lncRNA from 1 species
AAGAACAAAGGAAGAAAAGAAGAACACCAACCCUAGGUGGAAAAAUUCAAGGGAAAAGUGUGGAAAUUCAAGUAAUCAAGCAAUCAAAGGUAAAAUUUCUUGAUUUUGACUUGCGAUCUACCUUUCCCAUGCAUUAUUUUGCAUUUUCCAUGGUUGAAUCACAAGAUAUCAUGAAGGAUUCAUGGCUGACCGAAUUUAGAGAGAGAAGAUUUGAUGAUUGAUUUGGUUAGAUUUUAAGAUAUUUUACUGUUUUUAGUUAGUUAGUGAUGUGUAGCAUGGAAAUCAAGCAAGAAAAAUUCAUUUUCUCCCAUCACCCAUCAUUGGCCGAAUUUUCCAUGUAGAGUGUGGAUGAUGAUUUUGAUUUUAUUUCAAGUGAAUUGGUUAGGAAAUGAUGAUUUAUGGUGUGAGAAUCAAGUAGAAAAAAUCAUAGUAUUGAUGCACCCACCAUGGUCGAAUUUUUCAAGAGAAAAUGUGAAGAUGAUUUUGCUAGAUUUUAUGCUAUUUGACUUGUGUUUGAUGAGUUGGAGUAUUGAGAUAAAAAUGGAGUUAAUUGGAGUUGAAUUGGACAUAUUGGCCAAUUAAUCGAGUGAUAGAUCAAAUUAGGCCAAUACCAAUUUAAUUAGGAACCCAAAUGAAUUUGUGUAGAAUACCGUGUUUAGACAGUAAUCCGAACAAUUUGCAUCCCAUUUCAUGCAUUAGUAUAGAGCCUGAAUUGGUUUUAUAACAAUUUAGCACUAAUGUAGUAAAUGGUUUAUUGUGCAUUAUGUCUAAGUGGUGAGCAUUCUGGCAAAAGUAAAGAGAUAGUACCUGAGGAUCAAGAAUCGGAGUACUUGAAAUUUGACUUUUGAAAUAGUGAGUAACCUUAUCAUCAUCUUGAUUAUCUGAAGUGAAUUUUAAUUCAUUUUUGUGAUUUUAUGGAAAAUGAGUUUAAAUGGUAAAUCUUUAUGCUUUAAAAGCAAAAUGUGAUUAAAUGAAAUGAUUUUAUAAAAUUGUCUUGAAAUUGAAUGAUGGUUUUGGAAAAUGGAGAAAUUGGAGACUAAUUGUAGUGUUGUAAAUUAUGGUUUGAAUUGAGUGGCUUAUGAUAAUGUGGGCAUAAGUGGCUGAAUUGGUAAUUGUGCUAAACAUAUGUGAACUGUUGUUUUGCCUUGACAUGUUGUGUUGUAAAAUAAUUGCCACGUUAUGCUACUGAAAUUUUAUUGAUUUGGUGGGAUAUCGAUUAGCUUACUGCAGUUGGCGGGUUUCCGUGGACCGGCCUACUAGAGGGGCACGGUAAACCUCGUUAUAUCUUACCUCAGUAUGAGAGGUGCAGAUGGAUAACUCUUGAGGUUAACACUUUAGAGUUCACUUCACGCCAAACCACGACGUGAGGGUGAACUCAGCUAACGCCAAGAAACAGCUUUGUUUCAAAAUAAAAACAUGAUUUAUGUGCACAUAACUUUUUAACAGCCUUGGCGAACUAGGUUGGGAUAGCCCUCGAUCAAGGCAUCCCUGAUAACUGGGUAUGAGAAUGAUUUUGGCAGGAGCCAAAGUUUUAAGAAAUUCAUAAGCCAUGUUGAUUACUCGAUUUAUAUGAAUUGAUUAUUUUUGGUUGAAACAAGUUGAAAGGUGAUGUAUUACAAUAUGUUAAACUGUUUAUCUGUCUCCAUUUACUCAACUUUAGAUGUUUUAGAUGGUAUUUGUUUACUCACUAGGAUUAUAUAAUCUCACCACCCUCCUUUUCACCCCUUUCAGGCUCAAGAUAGUCGGUAGAUAGCUCACUUUGUUGAGGGCUACAGUUGGACUUGCAUCCUCAAAAACUGUAGGUUUACUGCUUUUAAUACUUUUGGUUAUUCGAGGGCCCACUUGUUACUAUAAAUUAAAUUAAAUACUCUGGCUUACUGUAUUACAAUAUAUAUGAAUUUAUUUUGCUUUUAAGCUGUAAAAACUAUUUAUGCAAUGUUCUAAAAAUAUUGUUUUGUGAGAAAAUUGAAUAUUUUAUUUAAUAUUUUUAUUUUAUUCUAAUAAUCAUAAUUUCAUUUUAAAUGAAGGUUUUAGAUGUUUAAACUUAUUUUUGAUUAUGAAUUAUGUGUUUUGUACUCGCAUACUACAUUUUUAGCAGAUUUCGAGAUUUUUAAGGAAAAAUGAUCGAAAUACCCCUAUGAGAAAAAAAUUGUUUUUCUAUUGUUUUGAUUUGGAAAUAGUUUAUAAUCUCUCAAAACAUAAUUUUAGUGACUAAUACUCAUAGGGGAAGCGAGAAAAAUUGAUGCUAAGCCUUGCGAGGUUUCGAUUAAUAUUUCGGGUAAUGAAUGUCUAUCGGGACGUCGCGACGGUUGUCACGGGCUCGAUGGGAGUUCUAGGUAGUGACAAUUCUAUUGGUAUCAGAGCUUUUGGUUUUAAAGAUUUGAGCUUUUGGGUUUAAAGUUGUUUUAAAGUUAUCUUAAAAACUAUAGUGUUAGUGUGGCCCCGAGUUAAGUUAGGUUUGAUAGAAUAGAAUACGUAUAUCUGCAUAUAGAAUUUGGAGUUGUUUAGACUCGUUUUGUUUCUUCUUAUAGAUCUUAUGAGAGCAUAAGUCAUAGACAGGGAGCUAUAUGAACUCCUAUUCCCAAUAAUCCACUUUUUUGUUAAUGUCAUGCAAAGGUCACAAGUAGGGCCGUUGUUCGGGUUUAAAAUGCCACCUGUGACACGAGCCUGUGUUAGAGAGAUCUUAAAACAAAUGCUUCUAAUGAAAGAUUAAUGAAAUGAUAUAUCCCUCCGAUUAAGGAUAGAGAAAUUUGGAGUUGGACUAAUAGGCCGUGAUAAUUUGUUCAUUUGGUGGAGUUAUAAUUGAACUCAUGGUUGUUAAUUGGAAAAAGAUUUGGGGACUAUGGAUUAUAUUGGGGUUAAUAUAAAGGAGCACCUGUGAUAAUGGUAAUAAGGGGAACAUUUUGAUUAGAAUGAAUAGUGAUGAUUGUAAUUCACCUGGAGUGUAUAAAUUAAGCAUUCAGGUAAGAGUAAACCCAUACUUAUGUGGAUGAAGAUAAAAACACUAUGUUAAUUGAGCUUGUUAUGCCCAUAUAAAAGUGGUGUUGGGAUUUUGAAAUAUUUUAUAUGUGAAUAUGUGUUGAAUUGGUACAGCAGCUUAAAGGGAACUGAUGUUGAUUUCAAUUAAGCGAUUGUGAGAUUUCAAGAAUUAAUUGGACCUAUUAUAGUUCAUGGAUAUAAGCACGUGAAUUAACUCGAGAGUGAGUAUCAAUGAUUACUAUAAUUGAUGUGUGGUCAUGAAGUAAGAAAUUAGUAAACAAAUCUACUCUAAGGAUGAGCUUGAACUUUGCUAUGCAUAGAAAAAGGGGGAGCCAAGGGAUUGAAGGACUAGAUGUGGAAUUGGCAGCUUUAGGUUAAAUGAUUUAGAAAUGUCAAAUCUAGUCUAAGUGCCAUAAGAAGUUCUAUAAUUGAGACUGAUAUAUGAAUUACUUGAAAGAUCAAUUUAAAAGUUUAUUUGGUUCAAAGUGUGGCCUAUGAUACGAAUGAUCAAUCUUGAAGGUGAUCUCCGCAAAGUAAGGAAUUUAGAAAAUGUUGAUGUUUGGGUAUACUCUAAGAGAGAGAACUUCUGCAUCCUAAGUUUAGGACAACUUUGAUCUUAUGAUCGCAAAGGCAAGGUGUAAUAACUAAGUAAAUUAUUCACUUAAUAAAUGUGAUUGCUUAUUGAUGAAUAAAGUCAAGAUCUUAACAUUUAGUGGUAUACAAUUUGAUAAUUAUGUCUUUAAGAGUUAUUUGGAGACAAUUCCUUCAUCAAAUUUGCACUAAAUGCUAUGGUAAAGGCAUAUCAAUGUUAAUAUGGAAAUGUAUCCAGAAAUGAUCUUAACAUACCACCAAAAAAGAAUUAAACAUGUUGAAAUUAAUGUUCUAAUAGUGUGCAUAUGAUCGAAAGCUAGUUUGUAAGUUGUAGUUUUCAUGAUCAUGAAAUAUAUAAAGAUUAUCAAUCAAUGGACAUACACUUGGAGUUGUAAUUUACAAGUUUGGAGUAUUUAAGAUAUGAUUAAAUGGAAUUAGCAUUAGUUAAGGUACGUAAAUCUUUUAAUUAAUUUCUGUGGAGUAUACAUGAUAGUAGAAUGGAGGAACAUAGUGCUGUGAUACUAUAUGGUGAAGUUACUAUACAAUAUGGAAAGAGUAUUCUAAAGUGGGAUUUAUUGAUUAUUGACAAGUGUUAUAGGAUGAGAUGAAUUUAAAAAUAUCAACUUUACCUAUUAUAUGUGAUAAGCACAAGAGGAUAUAAAUGGUUAUGGAAAUUGUGACGUAAGCUUGGAAGGAAACCAAACGGUUGAGAAUGAUUAAUAUAGUAACCUUAAAUAUAGAUGAAUAACAUUGAUUAAGUAAACUCCAACAGCCACUGUGCCGUGCUGUUAAGAACACUUCAUGUUUAGGACGUAUGAAUAAAAUGAGACAGAUGUGAAGUUCAACUUACGAGUUGACCUAAAGUCAUUGAACUUGAUUCUAAGUUUUGUUAACUGGUGUUUUAAGGUUUUGGAAGGUAUCGAUAUGAAUGAGUUAAAGCUGAAUAGGUUAAAGGCGUUCCCUUCAGGGGGGAAGAAAAAGGUUUGGGGUUCGAAACUUGGCGAGAAGGUCCUACAAGGCUUGUCUUGUCGCCCUUAGGCACGACGUAUGCGAGUAAGUCAAGUGAUGGGGACCCAGACAUAACAAUACCUUGAAGUAGGCCCCGAAGGGGAUGCCACAUAAAUGGCUAAGUUAUGGGUUAAGUGAUCACAUGUUGUGAGACAUAAGUUUAAGAUAGAUAUCCCCAAGGAAAUUCUCAAGAGAAGUUCUGCCAUGGAUCUCGUGAAAGCAAGCACUAAGUUAUGUGGUUAUAAAAAGAAAGCUGUAAGCUGAGAGUGAUAUUAGUAUUAAUAUUGAAAAGUACUUGAGGAGAAUCUAGUUUCAAGUCUUGCAAUUUCAAGUACAAUUUGUAAAUUGGUUAAGGAAAAAUGAUGUUAUAUUCAUAUGAAAGAGUGGAACAAAGGAUGAUUGAAGUUGACCUUGAUAAUGAAGUCAGAUAAUGAAACUUUCCUAAUAUAUUAUGGAAAUUGGAAUUCAAAAAUGCUUGAGGCAUACAUGAUUCAAAUGAGUCUGAGUUUUAAGUGACAAAUCAAUAUCGGAAUGCAAGAAGGAUACAAGGUAAUUUAGAGGCAUGAAAGAUAAUCGAGGAAUAAGGAUGACUCUUAGGAAUUGUGGUAUUGCAUAAGAUGCAAUGAUCAAGUUAAGAUAAAUCUUUGAAGUAUCAAUGGGAUUAUAAGGCAUACACGCAUAAUAAAUUAUAAUUCAAUGGAGAUGACAUUAUGAUGCAAUGAUAUAUAGUAUAAGGAAACUUAAGCAUAUAAUUGGAAAUGAUAAGAAGAAAGUAUAAGUAUGUAAAUGAUGUGAAACUAUGCACAGGCAUGAUGAGAAUUUAUAUUGAUUAUGAAGAUUAUUCUAUUGAAUCUUGGUUAUGGAUGGAAAUGAACAAAGAGAAAUUAGUCUGAAGGUAUUUGUAAAUAGAGACCCGUAUACAUAAUGAGGAAUAUGGACAUUUGAAUGUGCGUGUAUACGUAUGUGUGGAGUUAGUGAUGUACCUAAUUAAAAUGAAAAAUGGUUUUAGUGGUUCGAGAUCUGAACUCAAUAUAUUUGAUGAGUUGUAUAGAUAAUGUAAUAAUCAAGAAUCUUAUCAAAAGUUGAUUUAUGGCGACCUAAGGAAUUUUGGGAAAUAGUUAAGGAAAUGUAAUCUAUAGUGCGAUUAAGCCAUAUUAGAUGGAUUUAUAGGAUUAAGAAGAUUGGAAUUUCCUAAAUGCAAGGUAAACAUGAAGUAUGUGAAAAUAAUUGAAGCCAUUAAUCUUCCCUAACAUUGAGGAUAUGUAUAAGAAUGAAUAUGGCAUGUUAAUGAUACUGUAAACUACACAAUAAUUUAUGAGGAUAAGAUGAAUGAAUGAAAGUCGAGAAAUUUGAUAUGGAAUGAAGUAAUAAGAUAAUGAUUAGUAUACCUAAAUAAGUAUAAAAUGCGAUCGAAAUUGAUAUGAUUGAGAUGGAGUUAUGGUUCAAAUUUAAUGAUAGUAAUAGAAGCAUGCUUGGUGUCUUGAUAUAAGAGAUCAUAAUUGUGAAGGUUACUGUUGAUCUGAUUUUAAAGGAUAAUAAUAGACAUAAGUGAAGUACUCGAGUUGAAUUGGAGGUAAAUGAGGUGAACAAAUCGAAAUUCCCUAUCAAGCGGAGGACAUAAGAAGUCGAGCAUUAGAUGAGAAAACAAUACCCCUACCUUUUCUCUGAGUUCAAUAAAUAAAAUUUUGAGGUCAAAAUUUUAUUUUAAGGGGGGUAGUAUUGUCAAGCCCGACUUUACAAUAUGUUUAUUAUGUCAUUCUUACAUAAGAAUGCAUGUUUGCUUACUUGGGUGUCACGACCCAAUUUUUUGGGCCAUGAUUAGCGCAUGGGUCCAAUGGACGUAACCCACUAAACCCAAGCAAGUCUAUUAUUUAUCUUACUUAUAAUUCCAUCUAUUAUCACUAAGUCAUAUUUCAUAACUUUGAAUCAAAAUAGUGAUAUACAUUGCCAACUCGUACUGGCAUUACUCAUUUAAAAUUUACAUUAAGUUCAUCUAUACAUAACAAAAUAAUAUUCGACUUCCAACGGAGGGACUCGGAUGAAUAUAUAGCUACCGAAUGCCGAGACACCUACCAAAAGAUGGACAUAGGUCUACAAGGACACCUUGUCUUAAUUAUUUGCUGCCUCGUGAUCUGAAAACAUGAAUUUUUAUAAAACGUGAGUACAAUACUCAGUGAGUGAAUAUUAGAAGGGAACAAGCAAUCUCAACCAAGAAAUUUGACAAUCAUGAUGCACCGGUUGAAAAUAAAGCCAUUUUCAUCUAACUACUAUUCCAAACCCUUUUUCCCUUACCUAGAAAUUUAUUACGCAUUCAAGGAUUAAACAUCCUUGAAUUUACACCGAUCCUUCUAGCAAAGUAGUAAAACUGACGAUUAUUUACAAAUCGUCACACAAUAAGGGUUUCACAACCCGUACGAUUCAUAUAUGCAUAUGUAUCAUGUACAAUUUCAUUCACCAAUUGUUCUAUCAAGCAAGAUAGCAAAAUUAACAGUUUAUCAUAAACCAUCACAAACAAGGGUUUCACAUACCACACAAUCAAACAUAUAUACACAAAGAUAUGAGCAAUUAUAUACACCACCAAGUCUUCACUAUUCUUGGUGGUACAAAGAAAUAACUAUCGAAGUACUCGGUAAGGGGUAUCAUUCAGUAUCCCUCUUUGCACACAUCUGAAUUUUUAGGAAAUUGUUCGCGUUAAGUAUCGUCGUCCCCACAACCUUUAUCAUUAAACCGACAUUGCAUUUCCCACUCCGCACAUGCACGGUCGUAAUUAUCACAUCCUUUGUCAUUCAACUAGCAUUGCACUUCCCACACCGCACAUGCACGGUUGCAUCAAUUUCACCAUAAUUUAUUAAUAAUGCAUAUCAGCAUAAUACAAGGGUACACGAUUCAGUACACUUAAUUUCACACAAUUUCUCAAUAAUACAUGUAGGCAUCAUACAGAUAUACACAGAUGCAUAGCAAUCAUAUCUAACAUCACAGAAAUAUUUUCACUAAAGGCUUGGUCCCAAGAUUCAUUUUUAAAUGGGAAUUAGAUAUAAUCAUUCACGCAUUUCAUUUCAACUUAAUUAGAAUUCCCAAAUAAAUUUUGAAAUGCAAAUUCACUCACUGGUGUCAAAAAUCCGGAUUCCAGGUGCACUCAGACUAAUAGUCCUUAAGCGUAAUUCCUUUGCCUUUUUCGGACGUCUCACUACCUUGUCAAAUAACAAAGUCGAGGAAUUUACUAUAUUGUCCCUAAAUUGAUAUAAACUAAUUUAAAUUACUAACGCUUGAUAUGUAAAUGCAAAAAUAGGUCCGAUUACCGCUUAAUCGCGGUAUCGAUUAAAUUAGACCGAUCACCCGAUUAAUUGGCGAUUGUGUCCAAAUCACCUCCAAAUUAAUCCAUUUCUCCUCUAAUACCUUAAUUUACCACAUACCAUUUAAAUAAAGCCCAAUUCAGCAUUAGAACCCUCACAGUUCUUUAUAGAAAAAUUCGAUCAUUUGGUGCACUAGCACCGAAAUUUUUCUACAUAACCAUUUCACCUCAAUUCAUCAUUUUUCAAGCCAUUUUCCUUGAAAUAAAAACAAUCCCCCAUUGAUAUUCAGCCCUCAUGGUUCGACCAACAAGGAACCCUACAGAAACUGAAUAUUUCUUUUGUGUUUUUGUUCAUAACCAUGCUUAACUAUCCCUAAACACUAACAUAGUCUAAAAUCAAAUUAUUCCAACAACAAUUCCUCUUCCAUACCCAUUUUUAAGAAUUGAAUUCAUCAUGAUAACUCAAUAUUCAACCAUGGAAAUCAAGAACAAAAGCAUGGGUAAGCUAUGUAUCAAGUAGAAUUAAAGAAAUUUUAACUUACCUAGCUUGUUUCCUUGAUUUCUUCACUUUUUCUUUGAAUUUCCACCAGGUUUUCUUGUUUUUCCCUUUGUUCUUCCUUUUUUCUUGUUGCUGGUUGUCUAGGCCGAAUAUGGUUAGAGAAUUGGGGAUUUAAUGGGCUGAUUUCUAUAGAAAAUAAUACAAUAAUCAAGCAUGCCACAUGUCACAUGCUUAUUGGCCCAAUUUUUUUACUUUUUGACUUUUUCUUCUUAAUUUUCCACCACAAAUAUUCUGGUAUUUAUCCAAUCCUACCACAAUUAAAAUCCCUUAGUCUUGACAAGUGCUGGGGCGAAAAAUUUACCGAUUUUCCUCCGAGGUGAAAAAAUUACGAUUUUACCCCUAUACUCCGAAAUAUACCGGAAUCACAUUAUUUCUACUUUUCAACCUCAAAUAACACUAAUAUUGAUCAAUAUUAACCAAAUGGGGCAAAAAUCGUUUUAUAAAAAUUCUCGUUUAGUCUUCUAGUGGUAAAAUUACUAUUUUGCCCUUGUGCUCUAAAAAUAUCGGGAAUCAUAAUUUUUCACUGCUAAACAUCAUUCUAUACUCCAAUAAUCAUAAUUAUAUUUCAUAUAAUUAUUCUUGAUCAAAUGUGAUCAAAUCUUCGCUAGAAAUCUCCAUUUUAUCAUCAAAUGGUAAAAUGACCAUUUUGUCCCUAAUCGGUCAAUUUUCCUAAUGGACUCCAAACUGGACCUUGAACUCCAAAUCACUAUUCUAAGCCAUUCUGUGGGUUUCAAAAUUUUCAAUUUCCUCUUAGAAUUUCUAUUUGAACUAGUUCAAGGUUCGAUUUAACUUAGUUGUACCACUCGGUACAAUACCAUCUUUUAAUCGAGCUUGACAAGGUCUCACAUUCUCCCCCACUAAUAAAUAUUUGAUCCCCGAAUUUAAACUCAAUGUAGAGUGGGUUACCUUUACAUAUCGAAGAGGUGUGGAUACUUUGUCCGCAUGUCAUCCUCAGCUUCCCACGUUACCUCCUCGCUAGUGUGAUUUCGCCACAACACUUUCACAGACGCUACAUCCUUUGAACGGAGCUUUUUAACUUGCCUAUCAAGGAUAGCUAUCGGUUGUUCCUCAUAGGUUAGAUCAUCUUGCAACUGAAUGGUUUCAUACCGUAUUACAUGCGAUGGAUCUGGGUUGUACUUCCUAACCAUGGACACAUGAAACACGGGAUGGAUAUUCGAAAGGUCUAGCGGUAAUGCCAAACGAUAUGCCACUGCUCCAACCCUUUCUAAGUCUCGAAGGGUCCUAUAUACCGAGGACUUAACUUCCCUUUCUUGCCAAACCUCAUUACCCCUUUAGUUGGAGAAACUUUAAAAAAUACAUGAUCUCCUACUUGGAACUCCAAGUCUCUCUGUCGGUUAUCAGCAUAUGACUUUUGUCUACUUUGUGCUGUUAACAUCCUCUGACAGAUCAUGCGUAUUUUCUCAGUGGCAUCCUGCACCAACUCAGGCCCCAAAAGUUUCCUUUCUCCUACCUCUAGCCAUCCAAUGGGUGACCUACAUCUCUAUCCAUAUAAUGCCUCAAAUGGUGCCAUUUGGAUGCUAGUUUGGAAACUGUUGUUGUAGGCAAAUUCCACUAAGGGUAGAUAUUGCUCCCACCUGACACCAAGGUCUAUCACACAAGCCCUCAACAUAUCCUCCGAUGUCUGUAUGGUCCGUUCAAACUGUCCAUCAGUCUAAGGGUGGAAAGCUGUGCUGAAAUCUAACUUAGUGGCCAAUGCUUCUUGCAACUAUCCCCAAAACCUACUAGUAAACUGAGCUCCUCUGUCAGAUACUAUAGAAAUGGGAAUACCAUGCAGUUGUACUAUCUCAUCCACAUAAACUCGAGCGUAUUGGGCAGCCUCGUAAGUAGUCUUAACCGGAAGAAAAUGAGCUGACUUUGUUAACCGGUCUACUACUAUCCAAUUGAAUCAUAUCCACCACUGGUUCGAAGCAAACCCAUUACAAAGUUCAUAGCAAUAUGUUCCCACUUCCACUAGAGUACUGGUAAUGGCUGUAGUAGCCCUACAGGCUUUUGAUGCUCGGCCUUAACCUGCUGACAAACCAGGCACUUGGAGACAAACUCAGCUACAUCUCUCUUAAGUCCUUCUCACCAAUACACCUCUUUCAAAUCUUGAUACAUCUUUGUAGCCCCUAGAUGUACCACAUAAGCUGCCAUGUGAGCUUCCUCCAAUAUUUCUCUCCUCAACCCAUCACCAUCAGGCACAUAAAGUCUGGUUCCAUACCUCAACACUCCAUCUGUGCCUUUAGUAAACAUUUUUCCUUUCCUAACCUGAGGAUCCUCUAAGGCCUUAGUCACAAACUCAUCUUUACUUUGUGCUUCUUUAAUCUUGUCCAUUAAAAUAGGCCUCACUCUAAAAUGUGCUAGCAAAGCAUUUGUCUCCACAACUUCCAAAUGCACACCUAUGUCUCCCAAGCUAUGGAUCUCUCUAACCAAUGAUCUCCUAUCAGUAGAAAUAUGUGCCAAGCUUCCCAUUGAUUUUCAACUCAAGGCAUCUACCACUACAUUGACCUUACCGGGAUGAUAAAGAAUAGUACAAUCAUAAUCCUUUAGCAACUCCAUCCAUCUACGUUGCCGUAAGUUAAGAUCCCUCUGCUGAAAUAUAUACUUCAGACUUUUGUGGUUCGUGUAUAUCUCGCAAGUCUCACCAUACAAGUAAUGUCUCCAAAUCUUUAAGACAAACACGAUUGCUACCAUUUUCAAAUCGUUUAUGGGGUAAUUCUGCUCAUGCCUUUUAAGUUGUCUAGAUGCAUACGCAAUCACCUUCCCAUGUUGCAUUAAUACACAUCCUAAACCAACCCUCGAUGCAUCAUAAAACACCGUAUAACCCCCUUGUGCCUUGUGGUAGGCUUAACACUGUAGCUGUGGUGAGACAUGCCUUAAGCUUCUCAAAACUAUUCUCACAAGCAUCAGACCACUCAAAUUUUGUAUCUUUACGUGUCAGCUUAGUUAGAGGGGAAACUAUUUUGGAGAAGUCCUUCACAAAGCGACGAUAAUAGCUAGCUAAACCCACAAAGCUUCUAAUCUCCGUAACUGAUGUUGGCCUUGGCCAUUUUUCCACUUCUUAAAUUUUCUUUGAAUCAACUUGUAUCCCAUCCUUAGAUACCACAUGCCCCAAUAAUGCAACACUUUUGAGCCAAAACUCACACUUGGAGAACUUAGCAUACAAUCGAUGUUCUCUCAAAAUUUAGAGCACUAUCUUAAGAUGCUGCUCAUGCUCUUCUCGGCUCUUUGAAUAUAUCAAGAUGUCAUCAAUAAACACCACCACAAACUUAUCCAAAUAAGGCUUAAACACUCGGUUCAUCAAAUCCAUGAAGGCUGCAGGAGCAUUCGUGAGCCCAAAUGACAUCACUAAGAACUCAUAGUGCCCAUAUCUUGUUCGAAAUGCAGUCUUGGGUAUAUCUUCGUUCCAGAUUCUCAACUGAUGGUACCCAAAUCGCAGAUCUAUCUUAGAGAAACAUUGUUCUCCUUGUACUUGAUCAAAUAAAUCAUCUAUCCUUGGGAGAGGAUACUUAUUCUUCACCGUCACUUUAUUAAGCUAUCGAUAAUCAAUGCACAGCCUAAGUGACCCAUCUUUCUUCUUCACAAAUAACACUGGUGCUCCCCAUGGGGGUACACUAGGAUGGAUGAAGACUUUAUCCAACAAAUCUUCUAAUUGAUCCUUAAGCUCUUUGAGCUCUGUCGGUGCCAUUCUAUAUAGGGGUAUGGAUAUAGGUCUAGUGUCGGGAAUUAAAUCUAUGCAAAAUUCAAUCUCCCGUUCGGGAGGUAAACCUAGUAGCUCCUCGGGAAAUACAUCCACGAACUCCUUCACCACCGACACUUGACUUACAUUUCCAACCUUCGCCUGAGUAUCCCUUACAACAACCAAGUAACCUAUAAACCCUGUCGUAUUAACCUUCUAGCAGAAAUGACCGAUAUCAAAUUGGUUGGAGCAUUACUCCUAUCCCCCUGAAUACUAAAUGAUGAUUCAUCGGGGAAAUCAAAUCUAACCAAUUUAUGAUAACAGUCCACACUAGCAUGACAAGGUGAUAACCAAUCCAUCCACAAGAUCACAUCAAAGUCUAAGGUGUCUAACACCACUAGAUUCAUCAAAGUAUCUUUGUCCCGCCGCAAUACUAGCACUAGGCGAGUCAUUCCCCUGCUGGGGUAAUCGUCAGUUCCUCUAUGGACCUUGACGGCUAGAAGAUGAACCACCACUACUGAAAUCUUUACGGCCUUGAUAACCUUCUAUUUUGGCCCUUUUUGCUCUAUCCCUAGCAACUCUACUCUCACUGGUCCUCAUUUCAAUCCACUAAGCACAAUCUACUGCUGCGGAGUAGGUUUUGAAAUCUCGGGAUGCCACAGCCCUAAACAGUGGCUCUACUAGCCCAUCCACAAACCUCUGAAUCUUCAUCUCCUCAGUGAAAAGUAGGUAGGGAGCAUACCGAGACAACUGCGUGAACUUGAUGUCAUACUCCGACACUGUCAUACUCGAGGUCUGUACCAGAGUCUCAAACUCCCUAGCUCGUGCAUUACGUACACUGAAUGGUAAAAAUCGGUCUAAAAAGGCUACACUAAACUCACCCCAAGUCAAUGGUGCUACAUCCGUCAGUCUACCUCUACAUAGAGAACUAUACCAUUCCUGCGCCACAUCCUCUAAUCAGAAGGCUGCUAACUCGACUGAUCGGACACUAGAGCAUCCCAAAGCCUUACAUAUUUUCUCCAUCUUAUCUGAAAAGAUCUAGGGCUUUUCCAACACAUCGGACCCUGAAAAUGAUGGAGGCUUAAGCUUAAGAAAAUCAGGAAGAGAAAUCUCUAAGUGACCCUUCUCAACCUCAUGAUAUUGGCGGUCGGCCUGUCCUUGGAGCUAGGGGAUUCUUGCACUGUAGGUCUCCCCUUUACUACCCUCUGUAUAUCCUCCAUACGGGUCAUCAUCAUCUCUACAACCCGAUUAACUCCCUAUAGGCCUGCCGCCAAAUCCUCAAUAGUAAUACCCCCAUCUGGGUGUCUAUCUACAUCACCUUAGGACUGUCCCUCCUCUUGCCUACUCAUAGGCGUAUCCGACCUCACCAGCCUAGUGGCCCUGCCACGUCUACCUCGACCUCUCUAGGUGGAUGCCCGUGGUCUAUCUGCCAUCUCAAUUGGAGCAUCUUGCUCCCCUAACCGUCUUGAGGUGGCUCGUGUCUCAGACGGCAUUCUUACCUAGACAAGAGCAAACACCUGUUAUUAAACACAUAUUAUAAUCAUACUUAAGGUAAAAGGUGGUUUCUAAGAUAGGGAAUCUAUGCGGUCAUUUGGUUGUAAAAUGUGCCGCGGUUCACACUUCACAACCGAAGUUCCCACAUAAAAACCCGACACUCUGCUAGACCAACAAAUGGAAGUCCUAGGACCUAGACAAACCUAGGGCUCUGAUACCAAGAUUGUCAUGACCCAAUUUUUCAGGCCAUGACCGACGCAUGGGUCCAAUGGACGUAAUCCACUAAACCCAAGCAAGCCUAUUAUUUAUCUUACUUAUAAUUCCAUUUAUUAUCACUAAGUCAUAUUUCAUAACUUUGAAUCAAAAUAGUGAUAUACAUUGUCAACUCGUACUGGCAUUACUCAUUUAAAAUUUACAUUAAGUUCAUCUAUACAUAACAAAAUAAUACUCGACUUUCAGCGGAGGGACUCGGAUGAAUAUACAGCUACCGAAUGUCGACACACCUACCAAAAGAUGGACACAAGUCUACAAGGACACCUCGUCCAAAUUAUCGGCUGCCUCGUGAUCUGAAAACAUGAAUUUUUAUAAAACGUGAGUACAAUACUCAGUGAAUGAAUAUUAGAAGGGAACAAGCAAUCUCAAUCAGGAAAUUUGACAAUCAUGAUGCACCGGUUGAAAAUAAAGCCAUUUUCAUCUAACUACUAUUCCAAACCCUUUUUCCCUUACCUAGAAAUUUAUUACGCAUUCAAGGAUUAAACAUCCUUGAAUUUACACCGAUCCUUCUAGCAAAGUAGUAAAACUGAUGGUUAUUUACAAAUCAUCACACAAUAAGGGUUUCCCAAGCCGUAUGAUUCAUAUAUGCAUAUGUAUCACGUACAAUUUCAUUCACCAAUUGUUCUAUCAAGCAAGAUAGCAAAAUUAACGGUUUAUCACAAACCGUCACAAACAAGGGUUUCACAUACCACACAAUCAAACAUAUAUACACAAAGAUAUGAGCAAUUAUAUACAUCGCCAAGUCUUCACUAUUCUUGGUGGUACAAAGAAAUAACUAUCGGACUACUCGGUAAGGGGUAUCACUCAGUAUCCCUCUUUGCACACCUCUGAAUUUUUAGGAAAUUGUGGGUAUUACGUAUCGCCGUCCCCACAACCUUUAUCAUUAAACCGGCAUUGCACUUCCCACUCCGCACAUGUACGGUUGUAAUUAUCACAUCCUUUAUCAUUCAACUGGCAUUGCACUUCCCACUCCGCACAUGUACGGUUGCAUCAAUUUCACCAUAAUUUAUUAAUAAUGCAUAUCAGCAUAAUACAAGGGUACACAGAUUCAGUACACUUAAUUUCACACAAUUUCUCAAUAAUACAUGUAGGCAUCAUACAGAUAUACACAGAUGCAUCGCAAUCAUAUUUAACAUCACAGAAAUAUUUUCACUAAAGUCUUGCUCCCGAGAUUCAUUUUUAAAUUAGAAUUAGAUAAUCAUUCACUCAUUUCAUUUCAACUUAAUUAGAAUUCCCAAACAAAUUUUGAAACGCAAAUUCACUCACUGGUGUCGAAAAUUCAGAUUCUGAGUGCACUCGGACUAAUAGUCCUCAAGCGCAAUGCCUUUGCCUUUUCCAAACGUCUCACUACCUUGUCAAAUAACAAAGUUGAGGAAUUUACUAUAUUGUCCCUAAAUUGAUAUAAACUAAUUUAAAUUACUAACGCUUGAUAUGUAAAUACAAAAAAACGUCCGAUUAUCGCUUAAUCGCGGUAUCGAUUAAAUUCGAUCGAUCACCCGAUUAAUUAGCAAUUGUGUCCAAAUCACCUCCAAAUUAAUCCAUUUCUCCUCUAAUACCUUAAUUUACCACAUACCAUUUAAAUAAAGCCCAAUUCAGCAUUAGAACCCUCACAGUUCCUUAUAGAAAAAUUCGAUCAUUUGGUGCACUAGCACCGAAAUUUUUUCUACAUAACCAUUUCACCUUAAUUCAUCAUUUUCCAAGCCAUUUUCCUUGAAAUAAAAACAAUCCCCCAUUGAUAUUCAGCCCUCAUGGUUCGAACAACAAGGAACCCUACAGAAAUUGAAUAUUUCUUUUGUGUUUUUGUUCAUAACCAUGCUUAACUAUCCCUAAACACUAACAUAGUCUAAAAUCAAAUUAUUCCAACAACAAUUCCUCUUCCAUACCCAUUUUUAAGAAUUGAAUUCAUCAUGAUAACUCAAUAUUCAACCAUGGAAAUCAAGAACAAAAGCAUGGGUAAGCUAGGUAUCAAGUAGAAUUAAAGAAAUAUUAACUUACCUAGCUUGUUUCCUUGAUUUCUUCACUUUUUCUUUGAAUUUCCACCAAGUUUUCUUGUUUUUCCCUUUGUUCUUCCUUUUUUCUUGUUGUUGGUUGUCUAGGCCGAAUAUGGUGAGAGAAUUGGGGAUUUAAGGGGCUGAUUUCUAUAGAAAAUAAUAAAAUAAUCAAGCAUGCCACGUGUCACAUGCUUAUUGGCCCAAUUUUUUAACUUUUUGACUUUUUCUUCUUAAUUUUCCACCACAAAUAUUCUGGUAUUUAUCCAAUCCUACCACAAUUAAAAUCCCUUGGUCUUGACAAGUGCUGGGGCAAAAAAUUUACCGAUUUGCCUUCGAGGUAAAGAAAUUACGAUUUUGCCCCUAUACUCCGAAAUGUACCAGAAUCACAUUAUUUCUACUUUUCAACCUCAAAUAACACUAAUAUUGAUCAAUAUUAACCAAAUGGGGCAAAAAUCGUUUUAUAAAAAUUCCCGUUUAGUCUUCUAGUUGUAAAAUUACCAUUUUACCCUUGUGCUCCAAAAAUACCGAGAAUCACAAUUUUUCACUACUAAACAUCAUUCUAUACUCCAAUAAUCAUAAUUGUAUUUCAUAAUUAUUCUUGGUCAAAUGUGAUCAAAUCUUCACUAGAAAUCUCCAUUUUAUCAUCAAAUAGUAAAAUAACCGUUUUGUCCCUAAUCGGUCAAUUUUCCUAAUGGACUCCAAACUAGGCCUUGAACUCCGAAUCACUAUUCUAAGCCAUUAUGUGGGUUUCAAAAUUUUCAAUUUCCUCUUAGAAUUUCUAUUUGAACUAGUUCAAGGCUCGAUUUAACUUAGUUGUACCACUCGGUACAAUACCGUCUUUUAAUCGAGCUUGAUAGGGUCUCACAUUGGGUACCUUGGAAAUCGUUAAAGGACUAUAUUCUACCAAAUGGUACAAUUAAGUUGAAUUAAGCCUCGAACUAGUCCAAAUAGAGAUUUUAAGAUGAAAUUGAGAAUUUUAAAAUCCCAGAAUGACUUAGAUUGGUGAUUCGAAGUUCGAGGACCGAUUUGGAGUCAAAUUGAAAUUUUCAUGACCUAAGGGCAAAAUGAUCAUUUUUCCACCUGAGGUUAAGAUGUGAGCGUUGGCUGGAAUUUUUGACUAAGAUUGAUCAUUGGGAGUAUAAUUUGAGUUUGAGAAGUGAAGAAUUUUAAUUUCAGCAUUUUUGUGAGCAUAGGGGUAAAAUAGUCCUUUUGCCACCCCAAGGGUAAAAUUAUAAUUUUACACCACCCAACACUUGUCCAGCACAUGAAUUUUACCCAAUAUUGUCAUGGAUAAUUGAGGAAAUUUAAGUGGUGGAGAGAGAUUGCUUAAUGUCUAAGUAUGACACAUAGACCAAUGGAAUGGUGACAUGUGUCAAAAUCCCAUCCAUUCAUUAUUUUCUUUAUAAAUUAGCGCAAAAUUAGCCCAUUUCUCUUCAUUAUGGCCAGCCAUAGCAAGAACAAAGGAAGAAAAGAAGAACACAAACCCUAGGUGGAAAAAUUCAAGGGAAAAGUGUGAAAAUUCAAGGGAUCAAGCAAUCAAAGGUAAAAUUUCUUGAUUUUGACUUGUGAUCUACCUUUCCCAUGCAUUAAUUUGCAUUUUCCAUGGUUGAAUCACAAGAUAUCAUGAAGGAUUCAUAGCUGAUUGAAUUUAGAAAGAGAAGAUUUGAUGAUUGAUUUGGUUAGAUUUUAUGAUAUUUUAGUGUUUUUAGUUAGUUAGUGAUGUGUAGCAUGAAAUCCAAGUAAGAAAAAUUCAUUUUCUCCCAUCACCCAUCAUUGGCCAAAUUUUCCAUGUAUAGUGUGGAUAAUGAUUUUGAUUUUAUUUCAAGUGAAUUGGUUAGGAAAUGAUGAUUUAUGGUGUGAAAUUCAAGAAAAAUCAUAGUAUUGAUCCACCCACCAUGGCCGAAUUUUCCAAGAGAAAAUGUGAAGAUGAUUUUGCUAGAUUUUAUGCUAUUUAACUUGUGUUUGAUAAUCUUGAGUAUUGGGAGAGAAAUGGAGUUAAUUGGAGUUGAAUUGGACAUAUUGGCCAAUUAAUCGAGUGAUAGAUCGAAUUAGGCCAAUACCGAUUUAAUUAGGGACCUAAAUGAAUUUGUGUAAAAUACCAUGUUUAGACGAUAAUCCGAAUAAUUUGCAUCCCAUUCCAUGCAUUAGUAUAGAGCCUGAAUUGGUUUUAUAACAAUUUAGCACAAAUGUAGUAAAUGGCUUAUUGUGCAUUAUGUCUAGGUGGUGAGCAUUUUAGCAAAAGUAAAGAGAUAGCACCCGAGGAUCAAGAAUCGGAGUACUUGAAAUUCGACUCCAGAAAUAGUGAGUAACCUUAUCAUCAUCUUGAUUAUCUGAAGUGAAUUUUAAUUCGUUUUUGUGAUUUUAUGGAAAAUGAGUUUAAAUGGUAAAUCUUUAUGUUUUAAAAGCAAAAUGUGAUUAAAUGAAAUGAUUUUAUAAAAUUGUCUUGAAAUUGAAUGAUGGUUUUGGAAAAUGGAACACUUGGAGACUAAUUGUCGUGUUGUAAAUUAUGGUUUGAAUUGAGUGGCUUAUGAUAAUGUGGGCAUAAGUGGCUGGAUUGGUAAUUGUGCUAAACAUAUGUGAGCUGUUGUUUUGCGUUGACAUGAUGUGUUGUAAAAUAAUUGCCACGUUAUGCUGCUAAAAUUUUAUUGAUUUGGUGGGAUAUCGAUUAACUUACUGCAGUGGGCGGGUUUUCGUGGACCAGCCUAUUAGAGAGGCACGGUAAACCCCAUUAUAUCUUACCUCAGUAUGAGAGGCGCGGAUGGAUAACUCCUGAGGUUAACACUUUAGAGUUCACUUCACGCCAAACCACCACGUGAGGGUAAACUCAACCAACACCAAGGAACGGCUAUGUUUCAAAAUAAAAACAUGAUUUAAGCGAACAUAACUUUUUAACAGCCUUGGCGGACUCAGUUGGGAUAGCCCUCAAUCAAGGCAUCCCUGAUAACUAGGUAUGAGAAUGAUUUUGGUAGUAACCAAAAUUUUAAGAAAUUCAUAAGCCAUGUUGAUUACUUGAUUUAUAUGAAUUGAUUUUAUUUGGUUGAAACAAGUUGAAAGGUGAUGUAUUACACUAUGUUAAACUAUUUUAUUUGUCUCUAUUUACUCAGCUUUAGAUAUUUUAGAUGGUAUUUGUUUACUCAUUGGGAUUAUAUAAUCUCACCACGCUCCUUUCCACCCCUUUCAGGCUCAAGAUAGUCAGUAGAUAGCUAACUUUGUUGAGGGCUACAGUUGGACUUGCAUCCUCAAAAACUGUAGGUUUACAACUUUUAUUACUUUUGGUUAUUCGAUGGCCCACUUGCUAUUGUAAAUUAAAUUAAAUACUCUGGCUUAUUGUAUUACAAUAUAUAUGAAUUUAUUUUUCUUUUACAUUGUAAAAAUUAUUUAUGCAGUGUUCUAAAAAUAUUGUUUUAUGAGAA